rnacentral:lncRNA from 1 species
UUAUCUCCAUGCAGAGCGACUGCGGGCCGAGGGUCGUCGUCUUCGUCGUGUUAUGACUAGGGUUUGGAUCCAUGUGACCGCCAGAGAGAGAGGUGUUAAUGGCAGGGGUGAGUUCUAGUGAGAGAGAAAGAGAGAGAGAGAGAGAGAGAGAGAGAGAGAGAGGUGUUAAUGGCAGGGGUGAGUUCUAGUGUUUCUACUCUUUGGUUUGAAGGUUUUAUGAUUUGAGCACCCAGUGGCUUUGCUUUUUAUUAUGCGAUGGCGCGGUACCACCGGAUCAAUCGAAGACCGCUACCAAACAAAACUUCUGUCUCUGCGCAUAUGUGUGUGUGUGUGUGUGUGUGUGUGUGAGAGAGAGAGAGAGAGAGAGAGAGAGAGAGAGAGAGAGAGAGAGAGAGAGAUUAUGGUAGUGAAAGAGAAAUUAUUG